ensembl:lncRNA
AAUGAGAGACAGCCCCUUUACUCCACAGCCUGCCGAAAUUAUUCAAACCAGCCAAUCUUUAAACCUCCCUACAGCUGCUCUGCCUGUUCUUUCCUGUAGAAACCACAGUAAAGUCUCUUGCCUCCAGUUCUCUCCCUUCCUUCUGCCUCGUGGCUGAUCUCAGGGCUUCCCUGUGUGGCCCCUCCUGCAGUGGCUUGUCUCCUCCUCUUGGGAACUGGCUCCCUUGGCCUUUGGAAGGGCUGGUGGAGCUUCUUUGCCUGCUGAUGCAGAGAGCCAGAGUAACUGACACACGUGGGAAUAGGUGAGCCCAACUGCAUGCCCACAGGACAAGGCUGAAGAUUGGCCCUGAGCUAACGUCCAUGCUCAUCUUCCUCUGUAUGUGGGACACCUGCCACAGCAUGGCUUGACAAGCCGUGCCAUGUCCGCACCCGGGAUCUGAACCGGAGAACCGUGGGCCACUGCAGUGGACCAUGCAAACUUAACUGCUGCACCACCGGGCCAGCCCCUAAUUUUCCAUUUUGUAAGACCGUGAAAAAGCUUGAGUAACCACUUGUGUUUACAUCUUCUUUUAUAAUUAGCAGGGAAGUGCCUCAAAAGAGACAUUUGCCUCUGUUUGGAGCAGCUUUGAUGAGUGUAAGAUCGUGAAGGUUUGUACUGCUAUUUGUUACCAAACAAUCAUCGAGAAACUUCAGUGUGCGUGAUUAUGGUGUUUGAAUUUUUUCUCAUCUUUCAGGACCAAUUGCUUACUUUAUAAAAUUUCAUUUUUGUUUGUAUUUUGCUUUGUGAUUUUUUAGUAAGGGCAUAUUUAUUUUACUUUUAAAGUGUUUACCUUUCUAUAUAUUAGCAUUGUUUUAAAAUAUUACAUCAAAGUUCCUGGUUUUUAUUGUUUUGUAUUACUGUAUUUCACAUCCACUUUUCCAUUAGUUUUUUGCUACCUGUUAAUUUUAUGAUGUUUAAAAUUUUUCAUAGCCUCUUUUGUGAUUGUUAAUUCUCUUAUUCUUAAUCUUCUAGUUUCUUCAAUAUGUCAAGCAUUUAAUUUUUUAAAUUUCACAUAUUUUUUCAAAUCGGAAAAUUUCUUCUCCCAUGUUUGCAUUAUGGUUCUUCAUUUACUUGUUAAAAGGAAAUAUCUGUCUUUAACGAGUUAACUCCAAAAGAGUAGAAAGUUUUAUCUCUCUGCGGUAGGCAGAAUAGUGCUCUUUCAAAGAUACCUACGCCCCACUUCCUGGAAUCUGUGAACAUGUUACUUUAUGGCAAAAGAGACUUGCAGAUGUGAUUAACAUUAUGGACCCUAAAAUAUCCUAGAUUAUCCAGGUGGGCACAAUCUAAUCACCUCACUCUUUAAAAGUGGAAGAGGAAAGCAAAAGCGUGGGUCAGAGAGAAAAGAAGAAAGAAGGAGAGAGUGGAAGCCUGAAAGGGACUCGGGCUGCCCUCGCUGGCUUCUAUGAAGGAGGAAGGGAAGCGGGAGCCAAGGAAUGAUGGGGGUGCUUCUAGAAGCUGGGAACAGCCUUCCGUUGGCAGCCAGCAAGAAUAUGGCGAUCUUUGUCAUAGGAUCUCAAGAAGUGAAUUCUGCUGACAGCCCAGAUGAGGAAGAAAUGGAUCCUUCUCUAGGACCUCCAGAAAGGAACACAGCUGGCCAAACCUUUGAUUUGAGCCUGUUGAGACCAGUGUUGGAUCUUUGUCCUACAGAAAUAUAGAAUAACAAAUUUGUGUUGUUUCAAGCCAGUGAAUUUGUGGUCAUCUCUUAUGGAGGCAAUAGAAAACUAACGCACUCUCUAGUAUUUUAUUUUCAUUUUCAUCUCUGUCAUACACAUAGUACAAAAUAAAAUAAUUCAGAGACUUGUAAUGAAAAACACCUUCCAAACCCCCAUCUUGCAGUAUAUGCCUCACCAUGUUUAGUUCCAAUUCCCAAGAGUUAAAUGCUUUUGACAUUUUCUGUUAUUUUCUCCUGAGUAUGGAAAACCUGUUUUGUUUUUUUUCCUAAGGUGG